rnacentral:rRNA from 1 species
UACGUAGGGGGCAAGAGUUGUCCGGAUUUAUUGGGCGUAAAGAGCGUGUAGGCGGUCAGGUAGGUCCGUUGUGAAAACUCGAGGCUCAACCUCGAGACGCCGAUGGAAACCAUCUGACUAGAGUCCGGAAGAGGAGAGUGGAAUUCCUGGUGUAGCGGUGAAAUGCGCAGAUAUCAGGAAGAACACCCGUGGCUAAGGCGGCUCUCUAGUACGGUACUGACGCUGAGACGCGAAAGCGUGGGGAGCGAACAGG